rnacentral:lncRNA from 1 species
AUGGUAUUGGUAGUUACUAAAAGUAGUUUACUAAAGUAUGUCAAUAUUUCUUGUACUAAUUACGUUGUCAUAGCUCUAAACAAUUUCUCUUUUCCUUCUUUCCCUAAAUCAGACCAGACCCCUGUACUGCAGGAUAGAGCUGAAUGUGGCAGCGCUGGACAGGUGUUUAAUGGUUUUGUUCUGAGCAGGGAGACCCUGACUGUGCUGCUGGAUCUACUGGGAAGUGAACGUCAACAGUGAUGGUGUGCCACGAUCCAGACCCUGGUGUUUCUCUUCUGUCUGCCAGCGGUACAUCAUACAGAUGGUCUCCAGAGUGUUUGACAUGUCCCUCGUUCCACUGUCACCACACUGUCCUCCGAGUCUCUGAGGAGGUGCUGGCCAUUCACCAAGAGAUUGACCUCCUGAAGACCUCAGAACACAUGGAGACAGGGCCGGGCUCAAACUGAUGCUGUUUCUGUCAUACAGAUGGUCGUCCACGAGUGUUUGUACACUGUCCCUCGUUCCACUGUCACCACACUGUCCUCCGAGCUCUGAGGAGGUGGCUGGCCAUUCACCAAGAGAUUGACCUCCUGAAGACCUCAGAACACAUGGAGACAGGGCCGGGCUCAAACUGAUGCUGUUUUCUGAUGUUAAACAUAAGAUAUGUUUUAAAUGGUUGUAAAAGUACUCUCUAUUAUGUAUAGAACAAUUUGUUUUAAUGUGUAAAAAGUAUUUACAGGACAAACAAAUAAACAUAUAAAAGAAUGUUUUGUGAAAAAAUUAUAAGCUACAUUUAAAAAAUAAUAAUGUACAUAAGCACUUUUCUUUUAUUUACACAUGUGAAUAUGCAAAACAAAAAUACAAAAUGUACAGAAAGUACUCAGGCUUAUUUACGAAUAAAUUACACACUAAAAAUGAAUAAUGUAUACAAUUUAUGCAUUUCAUUUUUAAACUACAGAAAUUAGGUUGUUUCAUUGACAACAUGACAUUUAAAAAAUAUGUUGGAAAAACUGUAAUGUACUCAUUUUUUCCCACUGUUUUCUCUUGGCUAAUGAAGAAUGUAUUUGUUUGAGUUUGAUGUCCUCUGUCCACUCGCUCCCUCACCUGUCUCAGAGCACUUCACAAAUAAACCAUGCCUGUUAACAACAAAAACACAUGCUCACUUUCUCCAGAAUAGUAUUAAAACAAAAGAAAAUGAAAACAUUUAUGAAAAAAGACAGGUUUGCAAUCUUAACAUUAGAAAAUAUGACACAGCAGGACAUGCAUACAAAAUACUGAAGUGCUAAAGUUUGGUUAAAACAUUUGUAGACAUUUCCUGCAUGACUGCACUACAGAAACACAACAAAGGGAAAGACCAUUGCCUUAUAUAGUGGCUGGCUUAUUGUUUGUGGGCUUUAUGUUAAAAAAAACCCUGGCUUUAAACACUUUCGCUAGGUAUCUGAGUAAAUGAAAACACAAUACUUACAUUUCAAUGUGAAGUCCUCCACAGAACUCUCACCUGCCUCUGAAUAUAAACACCUUACGUCAUAUGCACGCAGUGAUCCUGGGAUAUGGUAGGGUGCGAAGUGUCCAUAAGAUGUACACUUCAUUUUCCUGGGAAAUGAAGGGCGCAUUUGAAGUCGCUUUCGAAACUCGUCAGCCUUCGUCGCGCCGCGGUGACGCAUUCGCACUUCAAAUGCGGUCUUCGAAGUGCGCAUUCUGACUUUGGGACAGCUUACGUCGUGACGCAAUCGCACUUCACAUCCGCACUUCGGAGUCCACACACUUCAGUUUGGGACACCCUUCGUCGCGCCACUGUGACCCAUUCGCACUUCAAAUGCGCACUUCGGAGUCCAUGCACUUAAGUUUGGGACACAGCUACUGUCAUGUUGCUCAGAGACGCAAAACUGUGCUUUGGUGGCUGUGUUUGGAAUUACCAAAUCUAGACGUGCA